rnacentral:lncRNA from 1 species
UUUUGGUGACUUACGUUCGCAAGUCUGGCAACAAAUAACACAGACGUCGUCGCCGCACUAGACCACGCUAUGUCGACGUCUAUUUGUCCCACGCCCCUCUCCUGCGUGUGCUUGAGGACCGAGCGGCAUUUUUGAUCGUAUUUACGUAAAUCGCGUGCUUUUCUUUAUACAUUCGUGCCAUAUUUAUUGCGGACUAUGCUAUGCAACUGCCAACGUAUUCGAAAUACACUACGCUCGCCUUGUGUGAUCCUGCGCAGCGUCGACGUCGACAGCGUGAGCUUGGAUCCAAUUGAAGAACCACUGGCUCUACAUUUCACGGAUCAUAAAGCGGUGAUAAUGAAAGGAAGACGGAAUCCAGCACUCAACACGACAUACGAAUUAUGACCGAUAAAAUGUAUAUACUCUACACACCUGUUGUCACUCAUUUACAUGGUGAAGAGUGGGCAAUAUCACGGGAGAUUCACGGUUACUGAACAAUCCAAGCUUCGCCCCACUCUUCAUCAUUCACUUCGUGGAUAUGCGUGGAUGUUUUUGUGCUACCUGCUCUAAUAUGCAUUCUUACAAACUCGCCCAGAUUUCUGUUCUUGUAAGACCUACAAAGUCCCAUGCUACUUUAACUAAUUAAACUGCACACCAAACCAGCAACCAACUGGUGUGUGAUGUAUUUACUGACUUCACUUCCAUACGGUACAGGAGUCAUUUCUGUACAUUUCUGUAUGGAGUUUUCUCAUGUGCCAUGCGGCACAGCAGUCUGUGCCAAAAGCUUAAGACACAGGGUAAGGCAAAAUUUAAAAAAUAAUCACCUUUUUUUCCCUCGCAAUCCGAAAAGUGUAUACCUUUGUCCAUAUUCAUGUUUAUCUUAAAAAGUCUUUUUUGUGGCUGAAAAGCAGUUUUUCCGAAAGCAAGUAGUGAGUGAACAUGCAUCCCAGGAUAAGCCCCUCAUAUGCGAUCCAUGCUUACAGUCCAUUUACUACAAAAAAGCUUCGUGUACCA